CAGUCGCCACGGGAAUACGAAGGGUGCAAGCGUUACUCGGAAUUACUGGGCGUAAAGCGUGCGUAGGUGGUGGUUUAAGUCCGUUGUGAAAGCCCUGGGCUCAACCUGGGAAUUGCAGUGGAUACUGGAUCACUAGAGUGUGGUAGAGGAUAGUGGAAUUUCCGGUGUAGCAGUGAAAUGCGUAGAGAUCGGAAGGAACAUUUGUGGCGAAGGCGACUAUCUGGGCCAACACUGACACUGAGGCACGAAAGCGUGGGGAGCAAACAGGAUUAGAUACCCGCGUAGUCCCUGUCUCUUAUAC
rnacentral:rRNA from 1 species